ACCGUUGGAUCGAGAAAUGGACGUCCGAGAUUCGUCCACGUCAGCAUGAGUUAAAAAUUGACUCGCAGAUAUACCCAUGAGUUAAGAGUUAAUGAGAGUAAAAUUUUUACUCAUGGUGACGUGGACGAAUCUCGGACGUCCAUUUUUCGAUCCAACGGU
rnacentral:pre_miRNA from 1 species